rnacentral:ncRNA from 1 species
AUAUUGAUGUUGAAGUAGAUGAGUAAGUGCCAUUGUCGUGCACAGAGAGCCGGGGUAGCUGCGAGCCGGUCACGUCAAGGUACCGAAGAUGGUCUACCGUAACAAUGUUGGGUGAGCUAUGGCCAGCCCGACCCGGGAACGCCCGUUAUCGCGUCACGGUCUGCGGCUUUGCGCCGCGUACCGGAUGAGUGGUUAGUAGUGAUACUAAUCAGAAAACGGGUGGUAACACGAUUAAAGUCGUCCCGGGA